rnacentral:lncRNA from 1 species
UCCACAUUUUCGAGAGCAGAAUGAGAUGGCGCAGCCUGGGAGCCAAGGGUAAGUACAAUUUGAAAAUGAAAAGAAUCUCAGCAGAUAUAAAUGACCUGGCCCGGUGUCCCACAGACUUAAAGGCAGGUUCAGCGCCAGAGAGAUAAGGGAACUAUGCUGUACGAAGAUCAGAGAAGCAGAGAAGCAGACGUCUAUGGAGGGGGCGGACCAGACCUGUGCUGACUUAGCAGGAGCUACAGUUUUCACAGAGGCAGAAACCCCGAGCCAACACAGCUGAGAGCAUCAACACCAGGCUCUUUACAACUGUGCACCUGCCUGCUUAGCCACAGGGUGAAAACCCCUCCUCUUCCUCAGUGCGGAGCGACAACAGAACCAACCAAACCAUCCAGCUGCCUGAGCAGGUCCACCUGCCUAGAGAGAGAAACGAACUAUGACCCACUCUUGGCUUUAGGAGUGUUCUGGAAUUCGGGGAAGAAUUUUCUGCAUGCCAAAAUGAGAAGCAUUUAACUGGUCAGGCCAGUUAUGGUAGACAGUCUGCACAAGAAAGAAUGUCCCUGUGUCACACAUGCUUUUCAAACACCUGCUGGCUGGACUGCAGGAGGAAACUUGUACAGAA